CUUAAUUCUUUUAUGAAACAAGAAUAGUGAUGUGUUUCAUGGAAUUUUACUGUGGGAAUUUCAGACACAACACAAACAAAAUUGGUAGCUCAUUUAAGUGGGUAUUUGCUGAUUUUGUGCCCAAUUCAUUCCACAAUUUCAGGAUUUUGUUUUUCUUUUUUAGUGUAAACUAUAUAGACAUAGUAUCUGUACAGUUUCUGGUACAAUGUUAUAGUACAAUACAUUAAAGGAAAGAUGUGUUGUUAUUUUGCUUUUGUGUGUGCAUGUGUUAUUUUGUUUGUCAGGUCAGCUUCUGUUAUGAAGACGAGUCUGGUCCUGAUGUAGAGAAGAAAUGACUUGUGCCUCUGUGUUUCACCUGAUCCCCUUAUACACUGGCCCUGGGAUUCUCUUGAUCUCAGCUCAUCCUUAUUCCUCUAACUCCUUAGUAUUACUCAAGCCUUCCCUCCAUUAAUGUUCCUUUAGUUUCCUGGGUAAAUUAGGGUUCCUUCUCUGCUAUUUCAGAUUCCUUGUAGAUAAAGUUGAAGGGAUAAUAAUAUUGAUUUUCUGGCUUUUUGAAUGUAAUUCAUUUGUUUUAUGCAAUACAAGAGUAAAGUAUAAGAUUAUUAUCAGCAUUCAUAUGACAGAUUAAAAUAUUGAUGGACUUACCAUAUGAUCUUGAUCACCAUUUUACCAAGUAAAUAAAGCACUAAUUCAGAAACAUUAAAAUACUAUAACUAUACAAUAUACUAUAUUAAAUAUAAAAACAAUAUUAAAUACUCCCAUUAAUUUUGUUUUCUUGACUAAUAUUUCAAAUGCCCCCCCUUUUUUUACAUAGAACUGUUUCUCAUUACAAAGACCCAGAAUUUUCUUCUAUGAAAGUUUUUUAAUCUCUCCGGAAAAAUCUAUUUAGCAAUUUAGGAUACUGUACUGUGCUAUAACACAGCACCUGUGAUUUUUAUUAGAUAAAUCAGAGCUCAACCAUUCUAACAUAAUUCAUAGCCAUAAGCUCAACACAAAUAAAUGAUAGUCAACUUCUCCCUUAUUUUCCCUUCAGUAACUCAAGGCUUACAUGUGUUUCUUAUUCAUUUUUGAUAGGUUUCUAUUUUGUUAUAUUUUGUAUUUUGUUUCGUAUAUGUUGAGAGAUGAAGAUCCGAUCUCAUUUUUACUGAGGACAGAUACAUAGUUUUCAUCCUACUAUUUGUUGAAGAGACUGUCUUAGACCCACUGUGGACAAUUGACACCUUUGCAAAAUUUAACUGGCCAUAGAUCUGUUAAAUUUAAAUGCUGGAGGUAGAACAAG
rnacentral:lncRNA from 1 species